rnacentral:rRNA from 1 species
AUUGAACGCUGGCGGAAUGCUUUACACAUGCAAGUCGAGCGGCAGCACGGGGGCAACCCUGGUGGCGAGCGGCGAACGGGUGAGUAAUACAUCGGAACAUGCCCAGUCGUGGGGGAUAACACUUCGAAAGAAGUGCUAAUACCGCAUACGUCCUGAGGGGGAAAGCGGGGGAUCGCAAGACCUCGCGCGAUUGGGGUGGCCGAUGUCAGAUUAGCUAGUUGGUGGGGUAAAGGCCUACCAAGGCAACGAUCUGUAGCUGGUCUGAGAGGAUGAUCAGCCACACUGGGACUGAGACACGGCCCAGACUCCUACGGGAGGCAGCAGUGGGGAAUUUUGGACAAUGGGGGCAACCCUGAUCCAGCCAUUCCGCGUGAGUGAAGAAGGCCUUCGGGUUGUAAAGCUCUUUCGGCAGGAACGAAACGGUGAGCUCUAACAUAGCUUGCUAAUGACGGUACCUGAAGAAGAAGCACCGGCUAACUACGUG